GGUAACUCUGCACCUUCUGCCCGUCACUAUAUCACCAAGUUAAAGGAAAAGAAAGCAGCAUACAUUUUGCAAGCCAAAGCUGAAUAAGCAGGCCUUGAACUGCACCUUUUGCUUCAAGCUCAUCUUGCAAGCCUGAUACACACUUUCAGCUUAAGACAAAUAUGCCAGUCUUGACUAUUCUCAGAGGAUGAUCUUUGAGUUGAAGGAAAACAAAAAGAAUUUGCCUGUCUUAAGAAGCUGAGUCUCAGGUAACUGUCACAUCUCAAGUAACAGCAGCCUGAGGGGAGAGGCAUCAGCAUACAGGAUGGAGAGGAUGUCACCUAGGCAAUCCGCAAGCUGUGAGGGGAAUAAUAAAUGGCGGGGUGUACAGACA